AUUGAACGCUGGCGGCAUGCCUUACACAUGCAAGUCGAACGGCAGCACGGGAGCAAUCCUGGUGGCGAGUGGCGAACGGGUGAGUAAUAUAUUGGAACGUGCCCAGUCGUGGGGGAUAACGUAGCGAAAGCUACGCUAAUACCGCAUACGAUCUAUGGAUGAAAGCGGGGGAUCGCAAGACCUCGCGCGAUUGGAGCGGCCGAUAUCAGAUUAGGUAGUUGGUGAGGUAAAGGCUCACCAAGCCGACGAUCUGUAGCUGGUCUGAGAGGACGACCAGCCACACUGGGACUGAGACACGGCCCAGACUCCUACGGGAGGCAGCAGUGGGGAAUUUUGGACAAUGGGCGCAAGCCUGAUCCAGCAAUGCCGCGUGCAGGAUGAAGGCCUUCGGGUUGUAAACG
rnacentral:rRNA from 1 species